GGUAAAUUAAAGAUGGCUGAACGGUUGUGCUUCGUGGUAUGUGGACAGCGUUACGUGUGGCUUGUCCUGUGUGGAGAUCUGAGGGGAAGUCGGAUUUGACCACUGGAUGACAGCAUGGGAUUCUGAGAGGAAGUAGAAGUUGCCAGUUUCUUAGGGUCUGGGAAUAAAAACCAGCACAGCUUUACUUCAGACUUUUUCUGUCUAUGGAGCCCUGUCACAGAACGUUCUCAUAGUCAUCGGAAUGGGUCAGUGGUGGUCUGGUCUUGCUGCCAUCCCCUACUGCAAAUGAGGUUCAGAUUGAAGAAGCAGCCCUUUCCUCGGGCCACUGGAAUCCUUCUGGAAAAAAUACAGGAGAAACGGAGGAAACACAUGAUGACUGUCGAGGGACUGUCUGUCCUUUCUGCUCACGUUGCCUUGGCCAAAGCAAGUUACAUGGUCAAGCCUGAUGGUCGUCAUCAGGAGAAGUUUUGAUUUUCCAGCAGGACAGGGCGGUGAAUACAAUGGGUCUAUCCUAUAACCUACUGCAGCGGAUUAAGCUAAACACUAUAUUGAUUAAAUCUAUGUUACUACCACACAUAACUACACAAUGGUUUAUUUUUGUAUUAUCUGCAAUGUUAAUACACACAAUAAUUAAGAAGAGUUUG
rnacentral:lncRNA from 1 species